rnacentral:rRNA from 1 species
UACGUAGGCAGCGAGCGUUGUUCGGAAUUACUGGGCGUAAAGAGUGUGUAGGCGGUGCUCUAAGUUCGGUGUGAAAUCUCCUGCUUAACUGGGAGGGUGCGCCGGAAACUGGAGUGCUCGAGCGUGGGAGAGGAAAGCGGAAUUCCUGGUGUAGCGGUGAAAUGCGUAGAUAUCAGGAGGAACACCUGUGGUGUAGACGGCUUUCUGGACCAUAGCUGACGCUGAGACACGAAAAGCGUUGGGUAGCAAACAGG